rfam:Cephalotus follicularis DNA, scaffold: scaffold2285, isolate: St1.
AAGCUUUGCAUCCAAAACCUGAGAUGUUUCCUUACACAAUCUCCCUACAGGAAAAUCUGAUAGUUUCCUGCAUGUAGUACUUGAGCAAGUUCUGCAAGUCUAAUUAUCCAGAAAUGUU